UGGGGAAUUUUGGACAAUGGGCGCAAGCCUGAUCCAGCAAUGCCGCGUGCAGGAUGAAGGCCUUCGGGUUGUAAACUGCUUUUGUACGGAACGAAACGGCGAGCUCUAAUACAGUUUGCUAAUGACGGUACCGUAAGAAUAAGCACCGGCUAACUACGUGCCAGCAGCCGCGGUAAUACGUAGGGUGCAAGCGUUAAUCGGAAUUACUGGGCGUAAAGCGUGCGCAGGCGGUUAUGUAAGACAGAUGUGAAAUCCCCGGGCUUAACCUGGGAACUGCAUUUGUGACUGCAUGGCUAGAGUGCGGCAGAGGGGGAUGGAAUUCCGCGUGUAGCAGUGAAAUGCGUAGAUAUGCGGAGGAACACCGAUGGCGAAGGCAAUCCCCUGGGCCUGCACUGACGCUCAUGCACGAAAGCGUGGGGAGCAAACAGGAUUAGAUACCCUGGUAGUCCACGCCCUAAACGAUGUCAACUGGUUGUUGGGAAGGUUCCUUCUCAGUAACGUAGCUAACGCGUGAAGUUGACCGCCUGGGGAGUACGGCCGCAAGGUUG
rnacentral:rRNA from 1 species